rnacentral:lncRNA from 1 species
AUGAUCUUCUCAUAUGUAAAGUUAUCUCUUCUUUCUCUAGGAAAUGUACACAUCUCAGCUCAAAAUUCAGUUGUUUCACCUCAAACUUCCCCCACAAGAAAUUGUCCAAAAUCUUCACCGUCUUACUUGGAUCCUCCAAAAGAUGAGAAGGGGAUAACUGCUGACUGUAAUGGAAGAUUAAACAAGAGCUCAAGCUACCUCUGUGAAUCAGGUAAACAUCAAUAAUAGCUAUUGAGUAAGUUAUGUAAUCUCUUAAUUCAUUUUUUCAACUAACAUUUAUUGAGCUCCUGCUUCAUGCCUGGUAUGGUGCUAAAUAUUCUUUGAAGGUUUGGUACAAAUCACCAGCAAAAUAUUUAACCUGGUCCUGGUUCUCUUAGUGAGAAAAAAAUUUAAACCAUAUAUCUAAUUAGAUGUGAAACUACAUAUUUUGUUUCUUUUUGUUUUCACAAUUUACACUUUACUUGUAAAUUUACUUAUCUGAAUUUUCCAACUUCCAGGCAUAAAGUUAUCGUAUAUCCUAUGCAUGUGGGUCAGAUUAUUGGAAGGCAGUACAGCAUAAUGAGUAGGAACAUAUAUUCUGACACAAUUACUUAAGUUGAAUCCACACACCAAAACUAAAAAUUUACAUCUGGCCAAGUUAUUUAAUUUUCCGUUCCGUUUUGUUUUUUUUUCCACCUAUAAAAUGAGAAUGUCAUGUAACCCAAAUUCACCGCCCAAUCACUGGAAAAGCCAAUAAUGAAAAGAAGAGUUUUGAUAAGGAAGGUACUUAAUUGUUUUGUGGACUGACAACAUAGCCUUUAAGGUAGCAGAUUUUUGAAAUAUCUACAAAAUUGCUUUAUUGGCUUAGCACACAUGAUCAAUUUAUUAUAUGUUCUGAUUAAUUUAUUAUAUGUUCUGUGUGGUUGAAAACAAUAAAUAUUACCAAUUUGGUGGUGCCAUGUUCUAAAUAUUUCCAUUCAAUCAAGACGUUGAAUUGUGUUGUUCAAAUGUUCAAUAUAUUUAUUUUAUUUACUCAGUUCUGAUACUAUUAUAGCUACAUCAGCUUUCAGUCUUGAAUCUUUUUAUGUAUAGAUGUGGCUUUUGUAAACACUCUACCCCUGCAUCUUGUUUUAUUUUUAUUGUGUAUUGGAAAUUUGCUUUUAACUGAAUUUAAGCUAUUUACAGUUAUGUUAAUUAAACCGUUAGAUUUUUACUGCCUUAUUGGUGCUUUUGCUUUGUUAUGCUUUUUUAUAUUUUGCUUUAAUUUCUCCUUUCUUGCUUUGUUUCAGAAUAUUAAACUUAUUUUUAAUCCAUUUUUCUCUCUACUGUUUUAGAAACUGUAUGCUGUGUAUAUUCCUUUUGACAAUUAUCCGAAUUCUGGAAUGUAUAAAGUAAAAGUCAAAGUUAAAAUAAUUAACUUCUAAACCACCAUCUCAUAUCAUAUUUAACCAAUAAUUUAGUUUUUAUUAUUUUUUACCAGCUAAAUAUUGUUCUGAUUUUUGAACAGUCAGGUUUUGUUUAUAUUUGUACAUGUUUACCAAUAGUUUUUUGUUCACCAUUCCUUUUUGCAUUUCCUACUUUAUAGAAUCACCUUCAUUCUUCCCUAAGUAAAUCCAUUCUUUAGAAAUGUCAUCAGUGAAUGUGUUUUGGGAAUAAAUCGUCAGAUUUUAUUUGAUAAAGUUCCAUUUUACCAUGUUCUAGGACAUAAUUAUGGCUGGGUAUAUAAGUUCUUAAGGGCAGUUAUUUUUUUCUUGGUACUUUAAAGACAUUGCUCUACUUAAAUGUUCUACUUUUUCUCUAAUAAUCCCUGUGUGAGUGAUUCUCCCUCUCCCCUACCCACACACACUUCAGUCUGCUUUUAAGGUCUUACUUUUGCUUUUCUGCAGUACUACUAUGAUGAACAGUUCUGGACAGGUUUCAGCUAUUUUUCUCUCCUGUAUUGCCUCUCCUCACUUUCUUUAUUAUCUUCUUCUAAAAUUCCAGUUACGUAUAUGUUAGACCUCCGUUUUUUCUUCUACAUCUUUUAACAAUUAGAUUUUUCAUUUCUCUGCUGCAUUCUGGUUAAUUUCUUCAAAUUUGUCUUUCAAAUCACCAAAUCUUUCUUCAGUUUAUCUAAUCUACUAUUUUAUCAAUUCAAUGCAUUCUGAAAUUUUACUGAUUAAUUAUAUAUAUGCAUAUAUAUAUACACACACAUAUAUAUAUAAUUUCUGAAGUUAUUUUUCAAAUUUUACUAGAUUUUUUUGACAAGUUCUUGUCCCAUUCUUGUGUUCUCCAAUCCCUUCUUUAUAUAUUUAAAUAUAUAAAUGCACUCAUAAGAUAUUCCUUAUUUGGUAAUUCAAAUAUCUGAUAUCAUUAAUGCCUAAUUCUAAUUUUGUUUUGUUUUGUUUUGCUGCUAACAGUCAUGGGGAUUUGUUUCUUCAUAUUUGUCUUUGUGUGUGUGUGUGUGUGUGUUUGUAAGGGGCAUCAUUGUUUUAUGUGAGCUCAUUUUUGAUAGAAAUGUAUCCUUGGGAAUUCUAUGUUUGUAUAGUAUGUAUUGCUCUAUAGAACUCAAAUUCAACACAUUAAAUAUGUACAGUUUUUUGAAUAUCAAUUAUACCUCAAUACACCAGUUUUAAAAAUGUCCAUAUGCUUCUGCUAGGCAUCUGGAAGAGGUAUAAAUACAGAUUCAUUUUAAAUUCUCACUUAGAGUUUUAAGACCAUAUAGUAGAUUUGAACCUCAAAGUCAUACAGGAAUUCAUAAUCACAGAUUAUCUCUUAAGAGAUAUUUUUAUUUUUUCCUCUUCUUCCUCUAUCCACAGCUGAAGCCAAGACAUAGUUUAUGUGUGCUGCUACCUCUGUGGCAUGAGUUUUUUUUUUUUUUAAUUCUUCAAUGAAAGGUAUAGCUCUCCAGCAUCCAGUAUGUUUUUAGAGGCUCUUACUUAGUUUUGAUUCUCCAUUUCGUUUGCAGGUAUUGCCAAUGUUCAUAGAGCAAGCAUCAGCUUCAAAAUUUGCUUAGAUUUGUGUUACUCCAGACUUUUUACUGUCAAGGAUUUUUUUUUAUUGUGUUUCAAAGCUUAGCUGCUUUUAAAAGGAUAGUUUUAAUAUUUUAUAUAGAAUUCUAAGCAAAUUUUUCAAAUAUCUACUCCAGCAUACUAAUGGAAACAGAAAACUUUUUGUAUUUUGUUUUUAUAAUAGUAUUGUCUUCACACUUAAUAUCUCAGAGAUCCGUACUCUCCUAAUUCCAGUUACUUCUACCAAACUGAACACACACAUAAAAAGUAUCUACAAAAACAAAUUCAAAAAGGUUCACACAAUUUAAGUAAGACUUUUUAUACACAUCGCUAGAACCUACCGGUUACUCAUUUACUGGAAGAAACGAGUUACCAUCUAAACUUGACUUUGAACUGGUUCUAAUCACUAAUACUACUUUCUGAAAUUAGGACAAUCUUUUUGUUUAAAACUUUUAUUCAUGUCCAUUUUUGCAUAAUUGACAUACACCAAUUCAGUAUGCCUGUAGAGAUGGACAGAAAGACUUCCUCUAUCACUUCAAUCCAGAGUAUUUAACAAAACUCAGUAAUAGAAUCUUGCUGGAUUAUAUACAGAGCAAGUUAGGUAAUACCCAAGUAGGAGAAGAUUAAUGGCAGACAAAUCAAUGAAUAAAUUUUGGUGAACAUGUUAAAUAAUGGACUCAACAAACAAAUGUUAGUGAAUACUUACUGUGUUAUGCGCUGAGGAUACAGUGGUAAAUUUGUGGCAUAGGAAGACAGAAGAGUAAACAUUUAAUCAUGUUAUAACGUAAUGAGUUUUGUAAUAGAACUAUGUGUGGAAUACUUCAGGCUCACUACAGAAGGAUAUUUAUUUACUUUGGCAAAGGUUUCUAGUGGAAUUAACACAAACUGAAGCCUAAAAGACGAGUGGUUAAAAAAGAAGUCAUAGGGUGCUCCCAACAAAGGGAAUGGCAAAAACAAAGGCCCAGACACAUGGAAAAUAUGACAUAUUCAGCAAAUUAUGUCAUUCGGGAUCUCUGAACCAUAGAAUAUAUAUGAAUAUAUAGAGACCAGCCAGAGUAGACACUGCAGAGGUAAGUGAGAACAUCAGAUUGUAUGGUAUAUUUUAUGCCUUCCUAAGGAAUUUGGGCUUCAUUGUGGAGAAUCUCUGGAGGCUUUUAAACAAGGUGCAGUACCAAAGAAUAAAGAUCUACUAGAGGAUAUUAAUUUCCAUUUUAAAAGUUGCUGGGGGGAAGAAUACAAACUAAUUACAAUUUUCUUUUUCUAAUAAAUAGGACCUCCAGUUCAUGCCACAGCUCAGGGUACUUUCCCUUCCCGUGUUUUCUCAAAUAUGUAAGUAUCUAAGAAAAUUAAUGUGUAAUUAUAA